rnacentral:rRNA from 1 species
GACGAACGCUGGCGGCGUGCUUAACACAUGCAAGUCGAACGGAAAGGCCCUGCUUUUGUGUGGUGCCCGAGUGGCGAACGGGUGUGUAACACGUGAGUAUCCUGCCCUUGACUUUGGGAUAACUUCAGGAAACUGGGGCUAAUACCUGCUAGGUGCUCCUGCUGCAUGGUGGGGGUUGGAAAGCUUCGGCGGUUGGGGAUGGACUCGCGGCUUAUCAGCUUGUUGGUGGGGUAGUGGCUUACCAAGGCUUUGACGGGUAGCCGGCCUGAGAGGUUGACCGGCCACAUUAGUACUGAGAUACGGACCAGUCGCCUACGGGCGGCAGCAGUGGGGAAUAUUGCACAAUGGGCGGAAGCCUGAUGCAGCAACGCCGCGUGCGGAAUGACGGCCUUCGGGUUGUGAACCGCUUUAGCCUGUGACGAAGCGUGAGUGACGGUAAUGGGUAAAGAAGCACCGGCUAACUACGUG